GUUUCUGGAGAGUGUCGCUAAGCCACCCUCCAUUCCUGCAUUCAGUUAACAAGCGCUGAUGACAUCUCUGUUGAACAUCAGGCAAGGACUGGCUUUUUACCGUAUGAUCCCCACUUUCACAGGAUUAAAUCUUCCAGGGGAGAGAGACAAUCAAACCAGCAAGUACUAUAAAGUGUAAUCAUAAGAAAGGAAAGUUGAAGGGUUUAUGUGACCCUGAGGAAGGGCAUCCAAUUCAGAAGGAGGGGCCAGGGGUCGAUGAAGUCUUCUCUGAGGAAAGACCUGAGACCUGAAGGAAGAAUAAGAAUUACUCAGAGUGAAUGGCCUAAGGAAGGAGAGAGAAAGGAAAACCUCGAACCACGAAGGCAUGAGAAUUAUGGUGACACAGAAUGAGGCCAUCUGGUGCUGGUAUAGGAAGAUGGACAAAGAGAUCUGAGAUGAGGAAAAACACAGAUCAAAAAAGAAACCCAAGGUA